rnacentral:rRNA from 1 species
CAGGCUUAACACAUGCAAGUCGAGGGGCAGCAUGGUCUUAGCUUGCUAAGACUGAUGGCGACCGGCGCACGGGUGAGUAACACGUAUCCAACCUGCCGUCUACUCUUGGACAGCCUUCUGAAAGGAAGAUUAAUACAAGAUGGCAUCAUGAGUCCGCAUGUUCACAUGAUUAAAGGUAUUCCGGUAGACGAUGGGGAUGCGUUCCAUUAGAUAGUAGGCGGGGUAACGGCCCACCUAGUCUUCGAUGGAUAGGGGUUCUGAGAGGAAGGUCCCCCACAUUGGAACUGAGACACGGUCCAAACUCCUACGGGAGGCAGCAGUGAGGAAUAUUGGUCAAUGGGCGAGAGCCUGAACCAGCCAAGUAGCGUGAAGGAUGACUGCCCUAUGGGUUGUAAACUUCUUUUAUAAAGGAAUAAAGUCGGGUAUGCAUACCCGUUUGCAUGUACUUUAUGAAUAAGGAUCGGCUAACUCCGUGCCAGCAGCCGCGGUAAUACGGAGGAUCCGAGCGUUAUCCGGAUUUAUUGGGUUUAAAGGGAGCGUAGAUGGAUGUUUAAGUCAGUUGUGAAAGUUUGCGGCUCAACCGUAAAAUUGCGGUUGAUACUGGAUAUCUUGAGUGCAGUUGAGGCAGGCGGAAUUCGUGGUGUAGCGGUGAAAUGCUUAGAUAUCACGAAGAACUCCGAUUGCGAAGGCAGCCUGCUAAGCUGCAACUGACAUUGAGGCUCGAAAGUGUGGGUAUCAAACAGGAUUAGAUACCCUGGUAGUCCACACGGUAAACGAUGAAUACUCGCUGUUUGCGAUAUACUGCAAGCGGCCAAGCGAAAGCGUUAAGUAUUCCACCUGGGGAGUACGCCGGCAACGGUGAAACUCAAAGGAAUUGACGGGGGCCCGCACAAGCGGAGGAACAUGUGGUUUAAUUCGAUGAUACGCGAGGAACCUUACCCGGGCUUAAAUUGCAGAUGAAUUACGGUGAAAGCCGUAAGCCGCAAGGCAUCUGUGAAGGUGCUGCAUGGUUGUCGUCAGCUCGUGCCGUGAGGUGUCGGCUUAAGUGCCAUAACGAGCGCAACCCUUGUUGUCAGUUACUAACAGGUUCCGCUGAGGACUCUGACAAGACUGCCAUCGUAAGAUGUGAGGAAGGUGGGGAUGACGUCAAAUCAGCACGGCCCUUACGUCCGGGGCUACACACGUGUUACAAUGGGGGGUACAGAGGGCCGCUACCACGCGAGUGGAUGCCAAUCCCCAAAACCUCUCUCAGUUCGGACUGGAGUCUGCAACCCGACUCCACGAAGCUGGAUUCGCUAGUAAUCGCGCAUCAGCCACGGCGCGGUGAAUACGUUCCCGGGCCUUGUACACACCGCCCGUCAAGCCAUGGGAGCCGGGGGUACCUGAAGUGCGUAACCGCGAGGAGCGCCCUAGGGUAAAACUGG